rnacentral:rRNA from 1 species
UGGAAGUAAAAAUCGUAACAAGGUCUCCGUUGGUGAACCAGCGGAGGGAUCAUUACCGAGUUUACAACUCCCAAACCCCUGUGAACAUACCACUUGUUGCCUCGGCGGAUCAGCCCGCUCCCGGUAAAACGGGACGGCCCGCCAGAGGACCCCUAAACUCUGUUUCUAUAUGUAACUUCUGAGUAAAACCAUAAAUAAAUCAAAACUUUCAACAACGGAUCUCUUGGUUCUGGCAUCGAUGAAGAACGCAGCAAAAUGCGAUAAGUAAUGUGAAUUGCAGAAUUCAGUGAAUCAUCGAAUCUUUGAACGCACAUUGCGCCCGCCAGUAUUCUGGCGGGCAUGCCUGUUCGAGCGUCAUUUCAACCCUCAAGCACAGCUUGGUGUUGGGACUCGCGUUAAUUCGCGUUCCCCAAAUUGAUUGGCGGUCACGUCGAGCUUCCAUAGCGUAGUAGUAAAACCCUCGUUACUGGUAAUCGUCGCGGCCACGCCGUUAAACCCCAACUUCUGAAUGUUGACCUCGGAUCCGGAGAACG